AUUGAACGCUGGCGGCAGGCCUAACACAUGCAAGUCGAGCGGAUGAAGGGAGCUUGCUCCUGGAUUAAGCGGCGGACGGGUGAGUAAUGCCUAGGAAUCUGCCUGGUAGUGGGGGAUAACGUCCGGAAACGGGCGCUAAUACCGCAUACGUUCUGAGGGAGAAAGUGGGGGAUCUUCGGACAUCACGCUAUCAGAUGAGCCUAGGUCGGAUUAGCUAGUUGGUGGGGUAAAGGCCUACCAAGGCGACGAUCCGUAACUGGUCUGAGAGGAUGAUCAGUCACACUGGAACUGAGACACGGUCCAGACUCCUACGGGAGGCAGCAGUGGGGAAUAUUGGACAAUGGGCGAAAGCCUGAUCCAGCCAUGCCGCGUGUGUGAAGAAGGUCUUCGGAUUGUAAAGCACUUUAAGUUGGGAGGAAGGGCAGUAAGUUAAUACCUUGCUGUUUUGACGUUACCAACAGAAUAAGCACCGGCUAACUUCGUG
rnacentral:rRNA from 1 species